rnacentral:rRNA from 1 species
UACGUAGGGUGCGAGCGUUGUCCGGAAUUACUGGGCGUAAAGCGUGCGCAGGCGGCUUUGCAAGACAGAUGUGAAAUCCCCGGGCUUAACCUGGGAACUGCAUUUGUGACUGCAUGGCUGGAGUGCGGCAGAGGGGGAUGGAAUUCCGCGUGUAGCAGUGAAAUGCGUAGAUAUGCGGAGGAACACCGAUGGCGAAGGCAAUCCCUUGGGCCUGCACUGACGCUCAUGCACGAAAGCGUGGGGAGCAAACAGG